rnacentral:rRNA from 1 species
CCUACGUGUGGCUGCAGUGGGGAAUAGUGCACAAUGGGGGAAACCCUGAUGCAGCGACGCCGCGUGAGUGAAGAAGGAAUUCGUUAUGUAAAGCUCUAUCAGCAGGGAAGAAAAUGACGGUACCUGAGGAAGAAGCCCCGGCUAACGACGGGCCAGCAGCCGCGGUAAUACGUAGGGGGCAAGCGUUAUCCGGAUUGACUGGGGGGAAAGGGAGCGUAGACGGCAGUGCAAGUCUGGAGUGAAAGGCGGGGGCUCCACCCCCGGACUGCUCUGGAAACUGUACGGCUGGAGUGCAGGCGAGGCAGGCGGAAUUCCUGUUGUAGCGGUGAAAUGCUUAGAUAUCAGG